AUAGACAAUAACACAAGGCAAAAUUAUUAUAUUACUGUAAAUGUAGGAGCCAUUCAUUUAGUUUGGUUUAUUAUAAGAGUUCUAAAUAUAUUGUUAUUAAUUUAAGUUGAAAUUAUAUAAUUAUUUAAAUUAAUUAUCCUGAAUUUGUUAGUGUGCAUUCACCACUGCAUGGGUGUCCCUCCAUAGGAUGCGGGAGUAUUACCUAUUUAAGGUGGUGCAGUGAUGCAGGCCAGACAGUGUAGCGGGUGUACGCGGAAACAGUCAUUGACCGUGUCACCGGGUCAACGUGUCAAUGGGGCGCGUCUUGCCAUGACUUGGAAUAAAGAACUAUAAUCUACAAAGGACUCUCUUUAAGUUUAUUUUGCAGUAUUAUGUUUGUUUAAUUUUGUUAAUAAAUCCACUCAUCAAGAGGAAAGAAAUAACUAACUUCAUCUUCAUUUAAACACAUGCGUCAGACUACAGCACCAGCUACUCAAGGAAGUGAACAAAGAUGGGGAAAGUUUAAUGGACUUAGAAAACACAGGAAACCCAAAAACUUAACCUGUUUUUAUCACUACAAUAAGUCAAUUGACUACGCUAUGGAUUUUACAAUGGAUUAUUUCCUAAUGGAUUACUUUGUGGACUAUUGAAUGAACCCGAGAAGGCCGACGCUUGGCGCAGGACGCAGCAAACAAAGGCGUCUCGGCAGAGUAAGCGCCGCCUUCAUUAGCGAGGUUGAUGGAAUACCCCCCAGGUCGGUUGUGGCGUCUCUCAUUCUACACAACACAACGCAGAGAACGUGGUAGAGGGAAAACUACCUUUGUUACACCUGCUUCUAGAAGCUUCAGAGUUCAGUGAAUGAAGACUGGAUGGCAUGAUUAGGAUGCGGGAGUAUUACCUAUUUAAGGUGGUGCAGUGACGCAGGCCAGACGGUGUAGCGGGUGUACGCGGAAACAGUCAUUGACCGUGUCACCGGGUCAACGUGUCAAUGGGGCGCGUCUUGCCAUGACUUGGAACAAAGAACUAUAAUCUACAAAGGACUCUCUUUCAGUUUAUUUUGCAGUAUUAUGUUUGUUUAAUUUU